AUUUUAUUCGUGGAAAUGAAUUGUACAGGUCCAAUAAAGAUGGGUCUAUCUGCGGAAUUAGGUAAACGUGGUUUAACGGGUAAAAGAUCUGCGGAAUCAGUACACAAUGCAAUGGGUACAGAGUCGACCAAGCUUUCGGGAUAGGUUUCCAAGCAUCGAUAAAUGAUUAUAUUGGACAGCUUAUUCUCAUACUGUAGACUUAAGAAGUUAUAAGACGUUAUUUUUUGCUUUUAAUCUCUUUUGCACUUAAUACAAUUCUAUAAGUAUUGAAAUAAGCAGUUGCUAAACUUUCAUUACAAAAUAUUGUAAUUUCUAUGCACUUAUUAUUUAAUCGUGUUAACAACUUUAUUAGGUGAUGGGCUUAUAAAAUAAAAGAAUGGUCAGCAUAA